CCCUCAUCUUCGAGCUCUCUAUUGGAGAACAUUACACUUGCUAUUUAUUAUAUUUACUUUACAAAAUACUUCUGCACAAAAAAUUCAUUGGUUGCAUUGAUGGCACACAUAUCAGAUUGCAAAAACUUUCAGCGGAUGGGCAUAUGUACUUCAACCGGAAAGGGUACCAUUAUCAAUGCUAUGAUCAUUUACGAUCACACAUGCAAAAUUUUGGCGAUCAACUGCCAAUAUGAUGGUGCGACACAUGAUUCCUUCGUUUGAAAACACUCGGACCAAAGAAGGGUUUUGCAAGAACGAUUUGAGCUUAACAGGCAAGAAAAUGCCUGGCUAUUAGGUGAUUCCGGCUACCCACAUGAGCCGUCGUGUAUGACCCCAUACAGAAACCCUCCAAAUGGUUCAAGCAAAAGCGUUUUCAACGACAUUCACUCUAAGGCAAGGAGUAUAAUCGAAAGAACGAUAGGUAUUUUAAGAGGCCGCUGGAGAAUUUUGGGGUACGACAAGAGAGGAAGAUACCAUCCCGUAAAAGUGGCGAGACAGCUUUACACAACAUUUGCUUGAAAUUUAAUAUAAAAUACGAUCCUCCUAAUAAUGAGUCCGAUGAAAUCCGCAGUUGUGGCAUUUAAAUCAAAUUAACUCACUACAAUUGGUCAAACCAUAAGAGACCAAAUAAGACAUUCACUUUCAAAUGUUACUUAAAUAUUUUCGUAUAAAAGUAUCCUAAAAUAAUAUUUUUAAUGCAUAUGUGAAAUAUAACUGACGUGAAAUGAAAACCCGUAAUGCCCUAUGUAAAAAUAAAUAAAGAAUUUUUAAUUUUUUGUUAUUAAAUAUUAUUUUUUAAUUUAACUAA